UAAAGUUGUGUAAUAGAUUGUUAUCUUAAUUCUGCUGGCAGAGGGAUGUUGUAAUGCAGAACUCUUUUACACAGUAUAUUUAAAAAUAUAGAUACAGGCAUAUUCUACAUGUGUAUUAGUAUACUGAGUGUAUUAGUAUACUGAGACUCACACUUACAGAAAUAGAUAUAUAUUUGUGUGGGGAGUCCCAAAUUUUCUUUCAUCAGACUUUUCUAAAUUUCAGCAAUCUUUUUGUUGCUACUCUAAUUAAUAUACUAUGUAAUAACUUCCAAUUAAAGUUGUGAUCUGCCUGUAAUAGAUGGUUUACUUAUAACAGGGAGAGAUUACUUUGCCAGUGAUAUCAUGGCCCACAUAUAUGUAGCAGAUAAGGAGAGGAAGAGAGGAAAAAUAGUUAUUCCCCACUAAAGGGGCACUUACUGGUAGAACUGUCCCGUGGUCUGAUCUAACUCCUGGGAAUUCCGCGUGCACAGAAAUUGAGCAGUGCCUGGGAGUGCAUACCAGUGGCAGUGCUGCUCAGAAGAGCCUUGGGACAGUUUUCCCCCAUGGCUAAGUAACAUUUCCCAAAGACUUGCCAGGCACUGUUUGAUAAGCUGCCACGCUGUGCUGUGUGAAAUAUCAACAGUGUAAACAUGGCCAGCCCAGGGUGAGCAACACUAUGGUCACAGCUUCUGAUUAUUAAACUUUUUAGAUAAGAGGCAGAAAAAAAACUGUAUCAAAAGCUGACAUUAAAUUCAAAUUUCUUUUGUCUCAUUUCAGUGCCUUUCUAGAUCAUUACCCUUAUUCAGAUGACAUUAUUCUUAAAAAUCACUCUAAAGUGACUAAGGCAGUGUUUAAAGAACAAAACAAGCCCUUUUAUCUUCCUCAGACAAAUAUCACAAAAUGUUAAUUGAUUAGUUUCCAGCUUUGACAAGUUUGGUUUUUUUUUUUUUUUUUGUCAAAUAAAAAGCUAAAGAUAGCUGAUUCAAUAAUAAACUUCUAGAAUGCUCCCAAAGUAGAUCAUGUCAUUAAUACUCAACUCAUGAGCAUUUAUAUUUGCAAACUUGAUAACAAAUUCAGUCCACUCAGUUUAGGAACACUAAAUGAACUUUAGGAAGAAAUUAUGCUUGAGGGUUCUGUAAACUUCUUUAAUUUAUUUAAUUCCUGAUAUUCAAUAGUUUUUAAAAGAAAAAUUCUCACACUUUGACAAAGAAAUCCUUGACAAACAAAUUAGCAAUGGUUCUUGCUUAAAAAAUGUCAGGAAUGGAAGGGAGGCAAAUUAUUGUGUUCUGAAACUAAGUAUUUAUUUUUGGAAUAACAGUAUAGGCUCCUGAGUUUACUCUGCUAUUCUUCAAAUAAGUCUGCAACCUUUGCCUGUAUCAUCUUUUGCCUUUCAAAUAAUCCCUCUGUAUCUGUAAAGUGUGAAGAUUAUGCUGGCAAAAAAUGGGUAAGAAAGCAGCUGUCAAACAGCUCUUCUGCCCUUCCCCCUUUGCAUGGAGAAAUUCAAACAGGAGAAAGCAGGAUAAGAACAAUACUGUGCUUGAAGAAUAAAACUCUCCCAAACCCACUUUCCUCCUUCCUAGGUCAGCACUUGCUGACAUUGGAACCCAUUUGCCUGAAGAACAACCACAAGCCUCUUGAUGAUUUGUGAGGAAAUCUGGAGUUGAUUUGUGUAAGAGGAAGGAAUGAUGCUCUGUUUUAUUCUACCAGCAUCUCACAGCCUUUCUGAUGUGCCACUUAAACCCUACAGGAGUUCUGUGCCCAAGGUAGUACAUCUUUGUGUCUAGAGGUGGGCUCAGGUUCCCUCAUCAAUUAAUUAAUGAAGGUUAAGUGUCUGAAAGAUAUUUCUGGAAACUAGAUUGGCUGGGGAGUCCUAAUAGAACUCUGCUUAUGAAUCUGAACUAUGAAUUUCAACGUUGCUUCUGUAUAUGAGAAGAAAAAGGCAUGCAUCACCCAUAACUUGAGAAAAUUUGCAGACCUGUUUUGUUGGGGUUUUUGGUAGACCUGUCAUUUGAGAAACUUCUCUAAGGAUAAAUGUUAGACCUCUAAGCACUUUGGUAAUUGUGGCUUCAGCACUCAUACCUUUCUGUCUGCUCCGACCUCUAGGUCUAUCUCUCAGCAGAAUUUGAGGCAUCUGUCAGUACAGAGAGAGAAUUUUUGUGUUCUACACCUAAUUCAGUUGUUUAGGCACCAAAGACAAAUACUGUAAUCCUGUUCAUCAAAUUCACACAAAAAAAAUAGUUUUUCAGAUUUCCUUUCAGUUCAGUACCACCUGUGGGGAUACACCUCCCUUCUGUGAGAUGACUCUGUCACACCAGCAUGGAGACAGACUUCUCAUAGCUUAGGCGGGUGGCAGACUCCAUUUAGAAUGCUGUGAUUCAGCUGUAGGAAAUUUCUUUCUGGGAAGGAAAAAAAAAAAGGGAAAUUUAUGCAGGAUGUCAUUUGGAAAGAUCUCAGCCUCAAGAUUAGGUGGACUCAUGAAAAUACUUUCUUAAACACACAUGGCUGCACCCCACUGCCUUCAGAUAAAAUGUGACAAUGCUUCAGAAUCAGCUUCAAGAAAAAGGAAUAUUGCACAUUUUUGGUGCUCACCACAAAAAUUGAGUAUUGAAAGAACUUACCUGCUAUUUCCAGGGGUGUGUGUUGUGUGUUUUUAAAUUCUUUUUUUAAUCCUUACAUAUUUUGUGAUUUCUGAAUUUAAAAUUCAGAGGAAAAAUAGUAAAAAAAUUCAGAGAUAAACACAUAAAAAGGAGUUUCUAUUGUUGGAAAUCUUAACCUGUUUGGUAAUCCUGAUAGUGAUAUCAUUUGAGUCCUUAUAAUCAGUUCCAUUAAUUUUUCUUUUUUUCCUCUUUUUUUUAAGGAAUUAGGAUUUUGCAUUGGUACCCAAAGUUUGGAUUUGUUGCAGGACUCUGAUCAAGAAAGUGAGGAAUGGCUGAAGCAAAACCUCCAUAGGCAGAAGAUCACUAGUUUAUUCAAGUAUGUCACCUCCCUGAUGCUCUUUUCUUCCAACAUUUACCAGCUUGAUGAAUUUUUUUCCGCUUGCCCAUUAGUCCACUGCGUGCUGUACAUGUGUACAUAGAAGGAAGUCCUGCUUCCCUUUCCUGCGAGUCCACCCCCAGAGGAAAAGAGGCACAUCAUUACACAGGUGGGCAAAUCUGUAAUCUCACCAGCUGACAGACAAAACUGAGAAUUUUUUUUAAUAUAUUUUUUUUAAUUCACAAUCAAGGAGAUGAAGUACUUCAGCAAUAUCUAAUAUGGUAUCUGUGGUUGCAAUUGGCUAUGUAGACUUAUAGAAAAAAAAAGGUAAGAGGGGAAGAUUUAUGCUAAAGGGUAACAGCUUAAACAAAAAUGAUGCAAUUCCGAUUGUUAAAUACUAAUUUUUUAUUGAGUCGUAUACAGCUUUACUGUUUUGGGAUCUGCUAAACAAAUUUCUUUCACUUAACCCUUGUGUAACACAGGCAAAGUAACAGAAAAUAGCAAAAGCAGUGUUUUAAGAUCAACACCAAGUAGUUCAGAACAAAUGAAAUAUAGAUGGCUUUAUUGGAUUUAAUUACAUAGAAAACUGAAUACCUAGAACAAGAAGUACGAUAAAAAGAUAAACAUAUUUAUUAUGACAAUGUUUUAUGAACUUCAGAUAUGCAGAUUGUUAAUAUGAAAAACAGAGUCUAGACAUAGAAAUUCUAUUCCACUUGAAGAGCUACUAUUUUGCAAUUGCUUCAGUACAUUUUUUAAUGAUAGCACAAAAGCAUAUUUUAAAAUCCCUUGUUCUGCUCCCUGAAUGCAGAAUUUACUGUCUCACUUGUGCAAGCUGCAGCCCUGUCUGGCACAGCUAUGUGUGUACUGGAGAAUAAAAAGGGGUGGAAGGAAGGCAGAAUAAUCAUUUUGACAAUGUAAAUGUAAAAUAAUUAAUAUGCCCACUAUUUCACUAGUAAUAUUUUAAUGCCAUUUACUUUUUCAUCUAUAGAAAAAAUGUUCCUUAAGUUACAGUUUUGAACUAACCAUUCUGAAAAUAAAUUAAUAAUCUAGUAUAUCUGGCUAUAAUCUCCAUAUGUUCUGUUUAAUAAAAAAAAGUUCAAUUUUCAUAAAAAUCCCAUCUCCUAAAAACUAAGUCUCCUGAAUAAGUGUAGUGAACUCAAUAAGAUCAUGGCAAAACCAGUGUCAUUUAAUUAAGUGACUUGGAAGUCUAAUUAAAGUAUAUUUAACUGCAUCUUGUAUCACACUAAAAAAUAUCGUGUUUAUUACGACUGGUGUUAAAGGAAACUUGUACAGAACUGAAGCUUGGUCUUUUAUUACUGAAAACACAAAUCCAGUUAAGACUUCAGACAAGCUCUCAUUAACAUGUUUUAUUUCAAUUUUAUUCAGAGCUGAAACAAGAGCUUCAUUUACAGCUGAGGAAAGCAAAGAUGAAACUUUGUUCUUUCUUUUGUGCUCAGCCAUACAAUUUAUUUUUCUCCUGGCAAUGGAUUUUAAAUCUCUUUCCUUUUUUUUUUUUUAAUGGGAACUGUUUUAGUAAGCACUGACAUUAGAGCUGACAAUGCUUUGUGUGGUUUUCUUUCCUUUUGCCUGGAUUCUGUGUCUGUGUGUGCAGGCAUGCAUUCAUUAACGUAAUUCCUCAACAUUCAACAAGAGUGCAUCAUAAACCAGAGGAAAAAAGCCUCAUAAAUAUUUAGAUCCUCCACCUACCUUCCAAAACUAAAGAGAAAAAGAGUAUUUAGUGUGGACUUGCUUUGAGUUAAUCUGCAUAUGAACUGAAAGGGGGUACAAAAGGAUGAAAAGGUGGUGGAAACGAGCAUACAAACCCCAUAGUCUCCAGGGGGCCAUUCAUCUUGUUCUUGUCAAUACAAUCUCAAACUCAGUGCUUGGCUGUGCUCUGCGCAUGACCCAGACUGCCUUUGCAAAGGAUGUGCCAGCUUUAGCCUCCUUUGCUUCCAGCGGGUCAUUUUGCCAGAGGAGAAGAAAAAUACUUCACAUUUAGGAAGCUGGAGAAAUUUCUCUACCUGCUUGUGGCCCACACACUGACAUACAAGCUUAGAUCAUUUACAUAAAAUGACAAGUAGGUCAUAUGAAAAGCAAUUUUAGGUAAUUUGACAAUUAAUGAGAGGUAAUGACAUCAUGAUGUUGCUUAAAGCAUGCUAGAAACCCAUACAACUUGGAGCAAUAUAUUUACAUAUAAACCUCCACUAUUUUUAACAAACACCACUGUCAAAAAUUACAGAUGAAACACCAGACCACCAAUAAUAAAAUUCAGGACUUAGUGAGCACUCACAAUUGAACAGUCACAGAAUAGUUUGGGAUUCUGUAAAUUGUUUUUAUAUAUUUUAAUUUUUAAAAAUGAGGGAAUGUAUAAUACAUUUUUUUUUAUCAUCUGAUAUAAUUUUUUGAGUGAUUACAUCAUACCACCUCAGUACAAGGACUUCUGAUCUACAACUGCUGAUUUUAGGUGUUCUUUUCAGCCAAAAGGGCAUAAAGACCACUAAAGUCUGUUAUCAGACAGAAUUAAUGAUUUCAUAAAAAAAAAAAAAAUCUUGAUCACAAAUAGCCAAACCAAUUUUUUUUGCCUUUUUUUUUUUUUGGUGAGGACAAGCUUAUAAUGAAAUAGAUGUAACUUACUGAACUAAUCAAACUUUGCUUCAGUCAGAUGAAUUGAAUUACUGCAAAGUUAUAUAAAUACUACAUGCAAAGUGGUCAUUUCAGUCACAUAAUCACAUAAUUCAGUAUCUUACUACACUGCUAAUCUUCUAUUAUGGACUUGUGAGAACAGAAAAGUCCAAGCACACUGUUUUCAAAUUAAUCUCUAUUUCAGUCUCCUCUUUAAAAGAACUCAACCAAAGCGGGGUUUUUUGGUUGGUUGGUUUUUGGUUUUUGUUACCAGACGUCCUCAAGACGCUGCCAGUGACCACACCAAUGUGACAUCAGGUACAGCAGGAGCACGCAAGCUGCUCUGCUGCCCAGCUCAUCACCUGGUGCCACUCUGACAUGCAGGACUCCAUCCACACAGACAAAUCCCCAAUGAAGCACCAGGAUGUAUCUGCAGCCAGAGGGAUAAUUGAUUUUGCUAUGAACCUGUAAGACAGGUGCAUACAAGCUUCAAAAUGGGACAAAAGAUCAAUUAUGCCUCUAGUAAUGAAAAUCAGAUGGAUAACUAUAAAUAGACUACCUGGAAGGAAAACCAAGGUAGGGAUGUAUAUUUUAAUUGACUCGCUAAAGGGAAGACAACCUUCUGGCCUGAAAAUUGGCCAUCUAAUUGGCUAGGUCAUGACUUCUUAAAACCAAGCAGAAAAAUUCUAGAGAUGGGGAAAUGCUUUAGGUCAAACAGUGCCUUCCUUCCACCUCCACCAAAGAACUGACAUGCCUCCCAAAUAACAGGAACUUUACAGAUCUUUCUCUAGUGGGAAGAAGGAAGGCUGGAUAAGUUGGAUGCCUGUUAAUGCCUGUUUUCAUGUUGACCUUCUUUAAUCAGAACAUUACACCAAAAAUUAAUGUUACCUUUUUUCCCUGUAUAGCUCCUGCCACAACCUGUUUUCUAAGCAUGCUGUCAGACCAAGUUUUUAUUUGUUAAUACAUAUACAAACAGUGUUGUUAUGAAAAUAAACAGCACAGUAUACUCUCUGGGAAACUGAUUUUUGCCUGCUCUACUGACAGGGUAAGUGUUUUUAGUCCUAUCAGGAUUUGAGAUGGGCAGGGUACGCACAUGCUAAAACCAGAGAGAGUUGUCAUACCUGUCCUGUCAAAAAAAAAAAAAAAUCCCCGCAAUCCAAGCGCAACCACCUUUCUUUAACAAUGUGACAAAUUCUUACAUACCUAAAAGGUGAAGAACUGUCCAUAAACUUUCAUAUACUCAUUUUUAAACAAAUACAAUAUCAGAAGAGAUAAUGUUAACGUUUCAGGGAUCACCCUUAUUUAUGAAUUGCACAGUAGCUUCCAUAAUAAAAAGGCGCCUAUUAGAGAAGAGUCCUUAAAAGUUUCUACAAAUUAUAACAAAAAAUUUUAAAUAUUGGAAACUUCUCAUGUUUUAAAUAAAUAGGAAUAUCUAGACUCACAUGAAUGGAUCUUUACAGAAGUAGUUUUAAUCUACAAGAAAGGCAUUUUAUUUCCCUUCCCUCUAUUUCAGUCAUAAUCUGAGACCAAACACAAAACAUUUUACACUAAGAACAGUAAAAAAAAAAAUAAAUUAAGAAUUUGAGAAUGGGCAGCAGUGUAAAGUGGGAUUUCCUGACACUGCAAAUUUAGCUGCAGUGAUUUUUGCAUGUAUUUGUCUCUACACCACAGAGAACUUUUCAGCUUAUUCCCCUGUGCCUCUACUCUGUGGUCUGGCCAACACAAUGGCUAGGUGAAUUUAAAAUAUUAACACACUUCUGAAAGUCAAAGCUAGGGAAUGACUGCAUUACGUUCAACAGAGUCAUUUUGUUCUUGUCAGAAUUCUGAACCCAAGUUGUUGUUCAAACUAUGCCAAGAACAGAAGUGGUUAACAGAAAAUGUUUCUGUGUGUUUACAGUGAGAUGCAGCUGAUGGCUCAACAGUUUGCAAUGGCCACUCCAGACAUCCAAAAGGAGCAGAACACAUCUGCACAGAGCAGGGAAAUGCCUUGCAAAAACUAUGAGACUAAAGUGAACUCCUGGAGAUUCAAGUGGGAUACCAAAAGGCAAGUGAAUCCUAUCCUUUCUUGUGCUUAUGAACUUGUAACAGUGACUUACUAGGAUCAAGCAAUGAAUUUGCUCUAAACAAUAAUUAGAUUUAGCAUUGGCUAUAUAGGAUGAUACCAUCUUGUAUAAAGUGACUGCAGCUCAAAUCGAGCCAGACCUCCUAGAUAAGCAAACAACCCAGCAAUGUCCACCUUUUGGCUCUGAGCCCAAGAGUCAUGUUUUACUGAUUGUUAUGAUUUGGCCUUUGAGCUCUAGUGACAGUCAAACAGGGACUUACAAUGCACCAGCCUUCAAAUUCCAACAAAGACAGCAUGAGAUCUGGGAUGCUUCCUGAUUCUAUACGGAAAUUCUGAAUUUAUCUGAGUGCUUAAGCAAUAAUUCCCUGCAAUUUUAUAAUGUCUUUCAUCCAAGCAACUUGAAGUAUUUGCCUACAAAGUGUUUCAUAGCUUCUGAAGAGUAGGAAACACUGAAAUGGGUUCCAGGGCACAUGACAAUUCAAAUAUAUGUGGCUACUAUAUUCCAGGAAAAAUCUCCCACACUCAACAGAAAGACUGUGGGUAGGAGGAACAAAUGAGAGACAAUGACUCAUCCACAAUCAAAACAGAGUUUAGGUUUCCUAAAGUGAAAAAGGACCAUUAGAAAAUAUCAAGAAAUUGAACACAGUCGUUUCCUUUUGGAGAAAAGGCACAAAUAGCAAUGGACAGAUGAAAAAAGAGCCUCUGAGAAUACCACAGCAUGGAAGCACAAUGGUCUUUGUGUGGGUAAUCAACAACCACUGUAGCACUGCUCUGUCCUCUGCUAGGGAUGAACACUGUUGAGCAACUCUGUCUCAUCUCCAGAAGCCUUCAACACUCGUACCACCUAGUCCCCGUCUCUUCUCACAGCUUUGGAGCGCCACAUAUUUCUCUU